GAACUUAUCUCAACCAUGUCGUCUUUUCGAUGUGGCUUGGAUGUGGGGGUAAUUUUUUGCAGGCUUUAAAUUUUGAAGCCAGCUCCCCUGAAAUGCAUUAGUGGUAUCUGAGCUGCUAUUGGUGUGAUAAUUUAUCUAUGCCUUUGGUAACAGCGAGUGCUGCUUAUAACAACAACAACAAUUGACAA
rnacentral:misc_RNA from 1 species